rnacentral:rRNA from 1 species
ACACGACUACAUUAGACUACCCCCGUAGUCCUAGCCGUAAACGAUACUCGCUAGGUGUCGGCCACGGUGCGACCGUUGUCGGUGCCGUAGGGAAGCCGUGAAGCGAGCCACCUGGGAAGUACGGUCGCAAGACUAGAAACUUAAAGGAAUUGGCGGGGGAGCACCGCAACGGGAGGAGCGUGCGGUUCAAUUGGAUUCAACGACCGAAAAACUCACCAGGAGCGACGGAUAUAUGAAGGUCAAGCUGAUGACUUUACCUGAUUUUCCG